AGUAGAUCAUCCGAAUCGUGCUCAACUCAAACAGUCCUAUGACUCCUCACUAGGACUAUCCUAGCUAAGAUUUUGCUAAAUUGAAACACGACUGUAUACAGCUCCUGAACUGGAGUGGUCAAUCCCAUCUUGACACACCCACCGACAAGUCAAGUACUUAACUACACCCAGCAGCCUUCUGUCACUGAAUUAGAAAUUCAGGUAGUCCAGUGCCUAAGUACAGUGAGUUACUUGCAAGUCACCGUGACGAUCUC
rnacentral:lncRNA from 1 species